UUAACGCGAAGGACCUUACCUGGGCUAGAAUGCCUCUGACAACUCCAGAGAUGGAGCCUCCUAGGGAAACCUAGGCAGAGUGCAAGGUGCUGCAUGGCUGUCGUCAGCUCGUGUCGUGAGAUGUUGGGUUAAGUCCCGCAACGAGCGCAACCCUUAUCAAUAGUUGCCAGCGGUUCGGCCGGGCACUCUAUUGAGACUGCCGUUGACAAAACGGAGGAAGGUGGGGAUGACGUCAAGUCCUCAUGGCCUUUAUGUCCAGGGCUACACACGUGCUACAAUGGCCGGUACAAAGCGCUGCAAACCUGCAAGGGGGAGCCAAUCGCAAAAAGCCGGUCUCAGUUCGGAUUGGAGUCUGCAACUCGACUCCAUGAAGUUGGAAUCGC
rnacentral:rRNA from 1 species